UACGUAGGGAGCAAGCGUUGUCCGGAUUUAUUGGGCGUAAAGAGCUCGUAGGCGGCUUAGAAAGUCAGGUGUGAAACCUCCAGGCUCAACCUGGAGACGCCACUUGAUACUUCUAUGGCUAGAGUUCGGUAGGGGUAAGCGGAAUUCCUGGUGUAGCGGUGAAAUGCGCAGAUAUCAGGAGGAACACCGAUGGCGAAGGCAGCUUACUGGGCCGAUACUGACGCUGAGGAGCGAAAGCGUGGGGAGCGAACAGG
rnacentral:rRNA from 1 species